rnacentral:ncRNA from 1 species
UGAUAGCAAUGAAGCGAGAGGUUGCUGUUUAUAUAGAAAAACAGGUUUUUCCGUGGAGCGAAUGUCAAGUUAGGAAACUGGCGACAA